GUUUAACUAGUUUAGUUUGUUUUAGUUUAACUAGUUUAGUUUGUUUUAGUUUAAUUAGUUUGUUUUAGUUUUCCCUCUUCAGAACCAGAUCUGGAUCUGUCUGGUUUUACCUGCUUAAUCCCUGAUCAUCUGUUUCUAUCAUCUCCAGAUUAUCUGCAGCUUUAGGAUCUAAUCUGAUCUUCUGGCUGGAUCUUUUUCUCCAUCAGUCCUUUAGCUGGUCCGACCAGGUUCUGGUUCCGGUUCUAUUCUGCUGGUUACCUCCUGAUGGACCUUUAAUCUCCGCAGCCGACAGCAGGAGCUCAGGAAAUAGAUUCACUGCAGGAGGAACUUCCUGAAACAAAGAUCUACGGUCGGAUCAGAACCAGGAGGAGGGGCCUCAUCAUCAUCAUCAUCAUCAUCAUCAUGUCAGAUUAUCGGUGAAUCACGACUAAAACACCAAACAUCAUUUAUUUAAACUCAUGUUGUCACAACACACAGCUGUUCUUAGCCCCGCCCCCUCCUGCUCACUGUCGUCACGGAGACGCACUCAGUAAACACAGCAGGACGACUCACUUGUGGGAACCUGCACACACACACACACACACACACACACACACACACACACACA